UACGAAGGGGGCUAGCGUUGUUCGGAAUUACUGGGCGUAAAGCGUGCGCAGGCGGCUUCUCAAGUCAGGGGUGAAAGCCCAGAGCUCAACUCUGGAAUUGCCUUUGAGACUGAGUGGCUUGAGUACGAGAGAGGUGAGUGGAAUUCCCAGUGUAGAGGUGAAAUGCGUAGAUAUCAGGAGGAACACCUGCGGUGUAGACGGCUUACUGGACCGUAACUGACGCUGAGGCACGAAAGCGUGGGUAGCAAACAGG
rnacentral:rRNA from 1 species